GCUACAAGAUGCCACAUCUAUUGUAACACCCCGAACCCGAGACCGACACCGGAGUCGGACACGAGAUGUUAACAAACUUUAAAAAAAAAAUUUCCAGACACUGCCCAGUCUGAGUACUAGUCGCUUCAAAAAUCAUAACUUGAGUUUCACAACUCAAAAAUCAGUUUUGUGAUUUUUCCCUGAAACUAGACUCAUGUCCCCACCUAUGGAUUUUUUUCUAGAAUUUUUGGUCGGGCCAAUUAGUACAGUUUAUUAGUCAAAGUCUCUCAUGUUACAGGGGUCGACUACACUGACCUUUUCCCAUUACGAC
rnacentral:lncRNA from 1 species